rnacentral:rRNA from 1 species
AACGAACGCUGGCGGCAUGCCUAACACAUGCAAGUCGAACGAGACCUUCGGGUCUAGUGGCGCACGGGUGCGUAACGCGUGGGAACCUGCCCUUAGGUUCGGAAUAACUCCCCGAAAGGGGUGCUAAUACCGGAUAAUGUCUUCGGACCAAAGAUUUAUCGCCUUUGGAUGGGCCCGCGUUGGAUUAGCUAGUUGGUAGGGUAAAAGCCUACCAAGGCGACGAUCCAUAGCUGGUCUGAGAGGAUGAUCAGCCACACUGGGACUGAGACACGGCCCAGACCCCAGGGGGAGGCGGGAGUGGGGAAAUUAGGAGAGGGGGCGAAAGCCAGCACCGCCAAGGGCGGGUGGGGGAAAAAGGCCUUGGGUUUGGAAAGCUCUUUUACCGGGGAGUGAAAGACGGGAACCGGGAAAAAAGCCCCGGGUAAACCCGUG